GAUGAACGCUGGCGGCGUGCUUAACACAUGCAAGUCGAACGGUAACAGGAAGAAGCUUGCUUCUUUGCUGACGAGUGGCGGACGGGUGAGUAAUGUCUGGGAAACUGCCUGAUGGAGGGGGAUAACUACUGGAAACGGUAGCUAAUACCGCAUAACGUCGCAAGACCAAAGAGGGGGACCUUCGGGCCUCUUGCCAUCGGAUGUGCCCAGAUGGGAUUAGCUAGUAGGUGGGGUAACGGCUCACCUAGGCGACGAUCAGUAGCCGGACUGAGAGGUUGGCCGGCCACAUUGGGACUGAGACACGGCCCAA
rnacentral:rRNA from 1 species